rnacentral:ncRNA from 1 species
AUGUGACAAUGGCAAACCUGCUUAAAGGCAGGGACGCAAAGCUAUGGGUCUAAAGGGAUAAUCCCCAUGACUGCCAGGCUGCCGGA